GAGAUGAGUUCUCCCUGACUCCUUGAGAGUCCUGAAGGAACGGUGAAGACGACGUCGUUGAUAGGCCGGGUGUGUAAGCGCAGCGAUGCGUUGAGCUAACCGGUACUAAUGAACCGUGAGGCUUAACCUUACAACGCCGAAGC
rnacentral:rRNA from 1 species